rnacentral:tRNA from 1 species
GGGCCCUUAGCUCAGCGGUUAGAGCCGCGGACUCAUAAUCCGUUGGUCGCUGGUUCAAAUCCAGCAGGGCCCACCA